UUUUUUUUCAAUUCUAGUCCCAACAUGUUUUCUUUUGUAGUUUUGGUCCUUAUUUUGAGGUUUUUAGUUUAUGUUCCAACUAAAAUGACUAAAUUUUUGGGACCAAAAGUAGUCAUUUACUUGGUACAGGGACCGAAAAUGUUACAAGAAACCUCAAGUAAGACAUAAAACUACAUAAAAAAAAGAAACAACUUUAAUCAAGGACGAAAAAUGUAAUUUAGUUUUAAUAAAAACAGUCCGUUACCAAAAUAUGGAACUAUUAAAGCUACAAGUAGUGUGAAGAACACCAAAAUAGAAUCACAGUUGCCAAUGUUACAACUCCAAAAGUUGCUCAAAAAAACCUCUGGAAUUAGUCCCUUUAUCUCAGUCAGGGGUAAAAAAGGAAAAUUACUGAAGGAUAUAGAAAUUAGAACCUGUAAUAUAGGAGAGUAACUGAGGUUUCUCAGCCAAACUGUUGGAAGGAUAACAACGGUGGAUAUAAUGGCACAUAAGUAAUGAGAAUCAAGAUGUAUACCACCAAUAUCCAAUUGAGCUAGUGGGAAAAGUGAUGAUAAAUUGUC
rnacentral:lncRNA from 1 species